UUUCUUCAGCUAGUCCCAUAGACGGCUCUGACCACCAAAAUUUGCCCGAAGCCUUGUGGUUUGAAUACAAAAUGUACCACAAACAAAUAGUAAAGACUUGAUCCUCAGAGCAUCAGGACCCAGAACUGGAAAAUUGAGAAGAGAUGGGUUCAUGAGCUACAUCACGGGCUAAUCCAUUGAUGGACUCGUGGCUGAAAAGAAGGGCUGCCAUGAGGUAAGCAGCUUUGUCCCUCACUGUGACACUGUCUCAGCACACCAGAAACAGAGGAGCCAAUGGCCAUAGACUGACACCUCGGAAGCCAUGAGCCAAAAUAAACCGUUCCUCCUUGCAAACUGUUUUCUUUGGUAUUUGACAUGCUGACAAAGAGCUCACAAACCUCGUGAAGAAGCCUGAGCCACAUCACUGCCAACCCUUGACUCAUGACUGAAGACGGCUCCCCCAAAGAGUGCUCAUACCAAGAUGAACUAAGCCUGCCUCCAGCUCAGCUAUAUGCAAUAACCCUCACUUUCAACUGCACAUAAUAAACAUGCAGAGUUCCUGGGUGCAACUUCUCUGUCAGAGAG